AUUCCAGCUCCAAUAGCGUAUAUUAAAGUUGUUGCAGUUAAAAAGCUCGUAGUUGGAUUUCUGGCAGGGGGCAACAGCCCGCUUGCAGCGUGUGCUUGCCGUCCCCUACCAUCCUUCUGUUAACGCGCCAGGACAUUCACUUGUCGGGCGCGGGCUCAGAUAAUUUACCUUGAGAAAAUUAGAGUGUUUCAGGCAGGCUGACGCCGGGAUACAUUAGCAUGGAAUAAUGGAAUAGGACUUUCGCCUCUUCUGUUGGUCUGAGGGGUGAUCGUAAUGAUUAAUAGGGAUAGUUGGGGGCAUUAGUACUUAACUGUCAGAGGUGAAAUUCUCGGAUUUGUUAAAGACUAACUUAUGCGAAAGCAUUUGCCAAGGAUGUUUUCAUUA
rnacentral:rRNA from 1 species